rnacentral:lncRNA from 1 species
UCUUGACGAAGAUACAAGUGAGGCACACGCCGAGCGAGAAGUUCUUCGUUCCUGGAGGAAUGGAGAGGCAAAAACCAAGACGAUGAUCAGCUCCCAGGUGUUUUCCCUUUUGUUAAACUCGAGAGAAACCACUGACUCACCUAUGAUCAACAGCACCACCAUCGAGAAUGCAGCAGCCUGGAGAGUUCCAUACAUGACAAAGGCAGCAUCUUCGAGAGCUUUGCCGAGUGCCGACUCGCUGAGCACGAGAACUGUGACAACGUAUCCAAAGACAGGGAAUUCAACAAAACGGCUGGCUUUGGACACACCAAGCAAGACAAGUAAGCAUGCAAUUCCAGUUCUUAGAGCGGAUAGCAGCCGUGACAGCCACGGGACGCUGUCGGAAGCUAACGCGUCCAUCUUUUCACUAGCAAUCUUCUCUUCUCUUUGAGAGUGUGUGUAGGAGGUCCAACUUGCGGAGUGUGAGCUCUUUAAAUAAGUGGGAUGGAGCAAAAGCUUAAAAAUGGUGGAGGAAUGUUUCUCUGUGGUGACGAACCAAGCGC